rnacentral:rRNA from 1 species
CAGCCGCCGCGGGAAUACGAAGGGUGCAAGCGUUAAUCGGAAUUACUGGGCGUAAAGCGUGCGUAGGCGGUGAGUUAAGUCUGCUGUGAAAUCCCCGGGCUCAACCUGGGAAUGGCAGUGGAUACUGGCUCGCUAGAGUGUGUCAGAGGAUGGUGGAAUUCCCGGUGUAGCGGUGAAAUGCGUAGAGAUCGGGAGGAACAUCAGUGGCGAAGGCAGCCCCCUGGGCCAACACUGACGCUCAUGCACGAAAGCGUUGGGAGCAAACAGGAUUAGAUACCCCUGUAGUCCCUGUCUCUUAUAC